UACAGAGACUGCAAGCGUUAUUCGGAUUCACUGGGCGUAAAGGGUGCGCCGGCGGCCAGGUGUGUGAGGCGUGAAAGCCCGGGGCUUAACUCCGGAAUUGCACCUCAAACUACUUGGCUAGAGCAUUGGAGAGGGUAGCAGAAUUCACGGUGUAGCAGUGAAAUGCGUAGAUAUCGUGAGGAAUACCAGAGGCGAAGGCGGCUACCUGGACAAUUGCUGACGCUCAGGCACGAAAGCGUGGGGAGCAAAAGGG
rnacentral:rRNA from 1 species